UAAUGGCCACAGUCUUUACUGUUUCAAUCUCCUCAUAGUUUCUGAAGCUAUAUAAAAUCCCCAAAUAGACUAGUAAGUGGAAUGAAUAUGACAAUACAUCAUGCUACUGAAGGGGUCAAGUUAUGUAGGCAGCAAGUGAUAGUGCAGUCUGUCAUGGGUGGGAAUAUUCUAGAAAUAAUUGUAUGUGUUUAUUUAUGUCUCUGAUGUGAUAACCUGAUCGAGUCUGUGUGUGCGUGGUAGGGGCAGUUAUGCUGUCAAAUACAGUAACUCACCAGUUUUGGUUUAUUUUGUUCUUCAUUAGUAGCGCAGGCAAUUUUAUUUAUAGUGGUAUGCAUAUUAUGGCCCAUAUCACCACUCAAUCGCAUCUUUAGUGUAACCACAUAGAACCUGGGUAUCAUAUAGUGACAUGUAGGUAACUGUAAACCACUCGACAAAUGGCAGUUUCAAGGCAAUACGUUAUGGGGUUCGAACCUAUACGCGCGGACGUCUGCCUGUGCCCGAUCCCACGCUCACCACCAUAUCCACUAUGCCACCGCUUCCUCCUGAUGGAUAUAUAUGUUAAAAAUAUUGAUUAAAAAUAAUCAGAUAAAGGACUUAAUUACUAUCAACACUCCCUGAGCAGAAAUGGGCGCCAACUGAAAGUAUCGUGAAUAUUAACAUGUACCACAAAUUGCAGUGCCCUAAGUGUCCUAGUACUUAAUGAGCCAACAACCAGCACAACAGUGCAUGUCUAGGCCCUCCCAGCCACGUCCCUGCAUAAGGUUGUAUAGCCUAAGCCUACACAGAAACAUUCACUUAGUUCAUCCCACAUCCUCAGCAACAGCAUCAUCAUUGAUCAUCUUUUUACGGAGAAGCAUUUCAGUGUGCCAAAAGGCAGGCUGGCGCACAUAUAGAUAUUGAAACGGUGGAAACCUGAAUUAAACUGUAGUAAAGUAGUAUAUUAUGUAUAAACACUGUUCGAAGCUUUGUGUAUCCGAGUUCGUAACAAGUUAAUCCACAGUUCGCACGUACAGUACACCGCCAGGCGCAAGCCAAUCUUCGUCACUCCUCACUCUUCAGUCCUCACCUCAUCACGCCUCCAGAGACGCCUCACCACUUACGUAGCGACAUGGUUUCCCCAAGCAUGAAGAAAAAAAAGAAAUAAAGAAGAUGCAGUAACCAUGCAUAUCUUUGGUGUCCUAAAGGUGAUCAAGACAUUGUGGUACUGUACAUGUAAAUGUAGGUGUUUUGUGAAGCUGACAAGAUCAGUAACCAUUGGUCAUGAAGGAAAUCACUACAUAAAAGCAAACUUGGAC